GACGAACGCUGGCGGCGUGCUUAACACAUGCAAGUCGAACGGACAGGCCCUGCUUUUGUGGGGUUCUCGAGUGGCGAACGGGUGAGUAUCACGUGAGUAACCUGCCCUUGACUUUGGGAUAACUUCAGGAAACUGGGGCUAAUACCGGAUAGGAGCUCCUGCUGCAUGGUGUGGGUUGGAAAGUUUCGGCGGUUGGGGAUGGACUCGCGGCUUAUCAGCUUGUUGGUGGGGUAGUGGCUUACCAAGGCUUUGACGGGUAGCCGGCCUGAGAGGGUGACCGGCCACAUUGGGACUGAGAUACGGCCCAGACUCCUACGGGAGGCAGCAGGGGGGAAUAUUGCACAAUGGGCGGAAGCCUGAUGCAGCAACGCCGCGUGCGGGAUGACGGCCUUCGGGUUGUAAACCGCUUUCGCCGGUGACGAAGCGUGAGUGACGGUAAUGGGUAAAGAAGCACCGGCUAACUACGUG
rnacentral:rRNA from 1 species